CAGGACAGAGACGUCAGAAGCAAACAAACAAACCAAGACUAUAAAAUACGCAACAUGUGUUACACCAGCUCAUCACCUGCUGUGCGUGAACUCAGGUGCAGAUACAGGUGUGUGCUACACAGGUCAGGUCAGGUAUAGAGUAAGGUAUGUGCAAGUGAGGUCAGGUAUAGAGUAAGGUAUGUGCAGGUGAGGUCAGGUAUAGAGUAAGGUAUGUGCAGGUGAGGUCAGGUAUAGAGUAAGGUACGUGCAGGUGAGGUCAGGUGCUGGUACAGGUGAGGUCAGGUAUAGAGUAAGGUAUGUGCAGGUGAGGUCAGGUAUAGAGUAAGGUAUGUGCAGGUGAGGUCAGGUAUAGAGUAAGGUAUGUGCAGGUGAGGUCAGGUAUAGAGUAAGGUACGUGCAGGUGAGGUCAGGUGCUGGUACAGGUGAGGUCAGGUAUAGAGUAAGGUAUGUGCAGGUGAGGUCAGGUAUAGAGUAAGGUACGUGCAGGUGAGGUCAGGUGCUGGUACAGGUGAGGUCAGGUAUAGAGUAAGGUAUGUGCAAGUGAGGUGAGGUAUAGAGUAAGGUGUGUAAUGUCAGGUGUACAGUCGGGUGUUCUCAGUAUCAGCCCCC